AGUCCCACGGGACGCAGCAGUGAGGAAUAUUGGUCAAUGGGAGAGAUCCUGAACCAGCCAAGCCGCGUGAGGGAAGACGGCCCUAUGGGUUGUAAACCUCUUUUGUCGGAGAACAAAACCCGGGGCGUGUCCCGGACUGCGUGUAUCCGAAGAAAAAGCAUCGGCUAACUCCGUGCCAGCAGCCGCGGUAAUACGGAGGAUGCGAGCGUUAUCCGGAUUUAUUGGGUUUAAAGGGUGCGUAGGCGGUCCGUUAAGUCAGCGGUAAGAUUGCGGGGCUCAAACCCGUCGAGCCGUUGAAACUGGCG
rnacentral:rRNA from 1 species